rnacentral:lncRNA from 1 species
ACUUCUGUUUCUGAACCAGAGUGGGUUCUCAGAGUCUUGGCUUUCUUUCUGCAGCCUGUCUGCCUCCUAAGCAGCUGAGAUUGUUUCCCCACUACAGAUGAGUGAUAAGCUGACUGCACCCUCACGGAUAAUUCUAUCAAAUAUCACACUGGCCCAUUAUAUUGAUGACAUUAGGCUGACUGGAUCCAGUGAGCGAGACGUAGCAAACACAUUGGACUUAUUGGUGAGACAUUUGCAUGCCACGUGAUGGGAAAUAAAUCCAACUAAAAUUCAGAGACCUUUUACCUCAGUAAAAUUUCUAGGGCUCCAGU